ensembl:miRNA Mir297b microRNA 297b
UCUAUUUGCUUGUGUGUAUAUGUAUGUGUGCAUGAACAUGUGUAUAUGAAUAUACAUAUACAUACACACAUACCCAUACAAACAUGCAUACAAACACACAGAAAAUGGA